rnacentral:misc_RNA from 1 species
GAUGAAGAACGUAGCGAAAUGAGAUAAGUAAUGUGAAUUGCAGAAUUCAGUGAAUCAUCGAAUCUUUGAACGCACAUUGCGCCCGCCAGUAUUCUGGCGGGCAUGCCUGUUCGAGCGUCAUUACAACCCUCAGGCCCCCGGGCCUGGCGUUGGGGAUCGGCGGAGCCCCCCGUGGGCACACGCCGUCCCCCAAAUACAGUGGCGGUCCCGCCGCAGCUUCCAUCGCGUAGUAGCUAACACCUCGCGACUGGAGAGCGGCGCGGCCACGCCGUAAAACACCCAACUCUUCUGAAGUUGACCUCGAAUCAGGCAGGAAUACCCGCUGAACUUAAGCAUAUCAAUAAGCGGAGGA